UCCGCUUUGGCGCAGUGGGCAGCGCGCACCGCGAUACUUAUAAGUAUACAAGGUCGUCUUCGGAGGAUCUUUCCUUAACGCGGUGAGGCCAAGGUUCGAAUCCUUGAGGCGGAA